rnacentral:lncRNA from 1 species
AUUUCAACCAGCUAUCUCCGUGUUCCCCCUGCUGGCGAGAGUCAACAGGCCGGGUCAACACUACGUGCACGGCUGGCUUCAGAGUCUAUUUUAUAGUUCGUCGAUUCGCUCAGCUGUCGUUUUCACACUUGAUCAUGAACAGACUCCAUGCAAGGGAAAUCAACUGAAGAUGACUGUCUUUCACAGAACUCAAUAAAGAAGCUAGGAGACACGUGGGCUCCGUAACGGGUUUCUCUGUGCAGCCCUGGCUGUCCUGGAACUUGCACUGUAGACCAGGUUAGCCUCGAACUCACAGAGAUCCACUUGCCUCUGCCUCCCAAGUGCUGGGAUCAAAGGUAUGCACCACCACUGCCCAGCUCAAAUAGUUCCUUUUAAAAUCUUUAGUUCUUAUAAGGACACAGAUUUUUAUCUUUUUCUUAAUU